rnacentral:rRNA from 1 species
AGAGUUUGAUCCUGGCUCAGAACGAACGCUUGGCGGCGUGGAUAAGACAUGCAAGUCGAACGGGAGUUUGCUGGUAGCAAUAUUAGCGAAUUCGAGUGGCGAAAGGGUGCGUAACACGUAGCUAUCUACCUCGAAGUGGGGGAUAUCUCCGAGAAAUCGGAGUUAAUACCGCAUGUGACUGUGAGGUCAAAGCUGGGGAUCGUAAGACCUGGCGCUUUGAGAUGAGGCUGCGGCCUAUCAGGUUGUUGGCGGGGUAAUGGCCCACCAAGCCUAAGACGGGUAGCUGGUCUGAGAGGACGACCAGCCACACUGGAACUGAGACACGGUCCAGACACCUACGGGUGGCAGCAGUCGAGGAUUUUUCUCAAUGGGGGAAACCCUGAAGGAGCGACGCCGCGUGAGGGAUGAAGGUCUUCGGAUUGUAAACCUCUGUCAUCUGGGAACAAUGUGAUCUACCUAACACGUGGAUUAUUGAUAGUACCGGAAGAGGAAGCAGUGGCUAACUCUGUGCCAGCAGCCGCGGUAAUACAGAGACUGCAAGCGUUGUUCGGAUUCAUUGGGCGUAAAGGGUGCGCAGGCGGUUUGUUAAGUCGGAUGUGAAAUCUCACAGCCUAACUGUGAUAGGUCAUUCGAAACUGGCAGACUUGAGGGCUGGAGAGGAGACUGGAAUAGUCGGUGUAGCGGUGAAAUGCGUAGAGAUCGACUAGAACACCGGUGGCGAAGGCGAGUCUCUGGACAGUUCCUGACGCUCAGGCACGAAAGCCAGGGGAGCAAACGGGAUUAGAUACCCCCGUAGUCC